ensembl:processed_transcript 5330413P13Rik RIKEN cDNA 5330413P13 gene
UGGUGAUGGUGUGCUAUGUCAAGCUUGUGCUCACAGGGAGCCCAUCCUGUUUCAGGCAGCAGACAACAAUUGAAGUGACCCCAGGUGGUGUUUUACUGAAGGAGCUUACAUUAUAGUCACAACCAAAAUAGGGAAGGAGAGUUGAGAUGCCGUCUCCUUGCGUGUUGAAAAGAACAGAAAAAGCAACAUGACAACAAAGGACACUGGCCUGGGAAGAUGUCACAAGACCGCAUGCUGCUCUCAGAGGGGCACCCUGUCCUUGGACCUCCCUCACUCAAGGGUGCUGACCUGGAGGAACACAAGGACCCCGUGACAAAGUCACCAGUUCUCCGCCUCCGGGCCUCGAGACCAAGCCUGUUCCUGCUGCUCCUGAGAGACUCAGCCGACGACCCGGAAUAGGACACAAGGUUCCAUUCUUUUGUUUAAAGCAAGUGGCACAUGGUCUACUCAUGAACUGCCAGGGACAGAAAGAUUGUCUCUAAAGCAGGGGACAGUGUCCCUCGGGACUGGAGGUCUUCUGGGGAAGGUCCGGAUGUGUCUUACAAAACCCAUCUCAGAUAUGGGUGUUUACUGUCAAAAGAACACACUGUCAUGGAUCAAUCACAGACAGAAUUUAUUCAUGGUCACUACUGCUGCUCGGUAGACUCGGGACAAGGACAAGGAAUUCAUUUUUAUGUCCAAUGGGGACCUUCAGCUUGGGGGCCACAUAAAGAGUAGAAUGAAAGAAUAGUGUAUGCAAGAGAUAUAGGGGACACUGUCAGCUGCAUGUGUCUGUGAGAGGCAGGAAGGUUUUUGACAUCUUAAAUCCAGGUCUUCUGCAAGAUGCCCCUGAGCUGUCUUUCCAGCCCCUAACCUAACAUAGCAGGUGCUAUUCCGUGGAUCUUAGCACAACCACAAUGCUGUUAGACAUCCCUCUAACAAUGGUUGUGAGUCUAUAUGAGGAGGCAGCGACAGCUGUCUGAGGAAGGAAGUGAGCCUGUUAGCAGGCUCUAGGGCUUUGAGGAGGGCCUCAAGGGAUCUGGUGGGAAGAGUAGGUUCCAGGGCUUGGAGGUGCAGUGUCAGGGCAGAAAGACAGUGUGGAGCUCAAGGAGCACACUGAUUCUGCAUGAGUGAUCCCUGAGUGAAAGAAAAGUCAGGGGGAAGGAAGAAGACGCUAGGUGAAAUCUAAGAGCCCUUAACAUCUACAGAGGUCUGGAGGAGGAAGAAGAGGAGGAGGAGGAAGAAGAGGAAGAAGAGGAAGAGGAGGCUGAAAAGUCCAUGUAAGGCCAGAGGAAGGCCCCUUAUGGCCAGGACUUCUCUCUCUGCUGGCCUGAGACACUGGAGGGCUGUGGCUAUCAGUGUAUGGACAUGACUUUCUCGGACUUUAAUGAGGCUUAGUUACUUUCCAUUAAUGGCUGGCUCUUUCUUUUCCAUCUGCCUAGAUGUAUUGGGAUGACAUUGUAAUUUAAACUUUCUCUGAGCAGAAGUGCACUCUGGGAUCCCAGUGACACCAGUAUCCAGAAGAACCCGGUACCUGGCCUAGGCCAGGGCUCCCCAGGCUCUUUGAUGAGCCCCUGCUAACCACACCCUCCCUGGAAGAGAGGCACUUUGGUCAGGAGACAUCUGCACUGUAUCUUCCCUUUUCAUGGUCUGAGUAUCUGGGAUGCCGGAAUUCUUCCUCUGCUGCCUCUGAGCCUGAUUCUCCCAUGAUUACCUCAUGGGCCUGCGUUUCUAGCACAGUACCCUUGUGCUUGGCUUUUGUGUUGAAGGGGCUAGGGGCUGCUUGCCUGGGACAGUGUAGAUUGAUCUCACACAUGCCAAUCUGGGCGACUAUGCUUUGUUGAAAAUCCUAAGGAGCCUGGGCAGGGAUGGCAGGCAGGCUUCUCAGUGUCUGGUAUGCGUUCCAGGAGUCCAGCCAACCCUGCAGUUCAUGAGUAGAGUGCAUUCGUUAAUAGAAUUUUCUUUUACUGAUUCAUUUAGCUUUCAAUUAGCAUAUAAAAUGAUGGAACGCAGGUCAAAUUUCAUAAUGUUUCCCUCAUGGUGAUUCUCCUUCCCGACUCUGCCUGCCUCCAACACUUCCUCCCUCUGGUGGCCAGUCAUCCUUGGAAAGUUCUGGUUCCCUUGUACCCUCCCUUGGGGCUUGAGAGAUGAUGGUUCUGUGGCUAAGAACCAUUGUGUCUCCUCCAAGAGGCCCUGCUCAUAGCCACCUGCAACUCCCAUCUCUAGGGGAUACAAGGCACUCUCCUGGCCUCCACAGGCAGCCCCCGCCCCGACACCCCGCACACCCUGCAUAUAAAAAUAAAUCUUAAAAAAUCCUAUUUUUAAAGCAAAAACCCCUCCAAAGUAUUUCAUAUAUUUUACUCUUUGAAAAAUUUCAUGUUUAUAUAAUGUACUUUGAUCAUAGCCAUCCACCGUUUUCUCCCUCUAGCUCCCCCUGCUGGCUCAGUUUUUCACUUUACAGCAAGCAGCUCCUCCCUGGGCCCUUGGUGUUAAACAUAAGCAGGCACAGUCUUGCCUGUGGCUCCUCACCCAGUCAUGUGCUGGGCUGAUCUGUAGGUUUGAUGUGUUUUCUUCUCUUUGGAGCCUCAAUUGUGACCGGAAUGCAGGAGUGUGGUGCCCCCACCCCACCCCACAUUUGCACAUGUAUAUACAUGCACAUGAGGGACCAAUCCUCCCUAUUUCCACCUAGGAAUUUAGUGCCAGAGCUCACACGCUGACAAAGCUCUUUCAGAGGUUGAGAUCUCUAGAACCUUCUAGAAGUCAUCUGGUCUUAGGUUUGGAUUCCAUCUUCCCAGAUUACCCUUGCCAACCAUAAGAUGAUAAGUAUCACGGCAACGGCUACAGCAUCAGCUGCUGAUCCUUGCGCUGACCCACUGCCAUCUCCACUAUAACCACCUUCAAAGCCCUUGCCACCAUCAUUACAAUCCCCCAUCAGCACCAAUCAUUUACUCAGCAAACACUUGCUGUGCAUCUCACUCGGGCUUGUGGUAUACAUAUUAGGACGAAACAGUCUCCUGAGAACUUACACUUCGGUCUCUAGAGGGACCUGAAACCAUAAGAAGGAAAUUAUCAAAAACGCUAGGAUUCGAUAUGCACUAUGGAAAGGAAGCAGAGAGCGGUAACAGCUGGGGGGCGGGGCCAGUGGCAGGCUACAGUUUCCUACAGCAUGGUCAGCGGCAAAGACUGAGUCAAGAUCAAAGUGAGGGAUUUGACGGUACUCUAAUCGUUCUUACUGAAUUUAUUAUUGUGUGAUUUUUAUACACGAAACACUUAAUAAAAACAGUUUGGGACGAGUCUGAAAUGGCAAGGACAGAUCUUCAACUUAAGGUCUAACUGGAUGAACAUUUCAUGAUGCUUUGGAGGAUCCUUGCUGGGUUUCUUUCACAAUGCUGCCCCCCAGUGUUCAGUGCGAGUAGUGCAGGAUCAGGAAUUCAAGCGCUUACUGUGAGUCCCAAUUUCUCACCCAGAUAUUAACAAACUAUAUUAAAGUUCUCAAAUAUACAAAAAUAUUAUGAAGUAAAUAUGUUUUAAAUUUCAAAUCCUCACAAGGGUGAAGCCACAUUAAAAGGGGCAGAUUCGCCUGAAAUUCCCACAAUUUGUAAAAAUAUAAGUAAAAUAAAAUUUAUUAAUUAUAUC